rnacentral:rRNA from 1 species
GAUGAACGCUGGCGGCGUGCCUAAUACAUGCAAGUCGAGCGAACAGACGAGGAGCUUGCUCCUCUGACGUUAGCGGCGGACGGGUGAGUAACACGUGGAUAACCUACCUAUAAGACUGGGAUAACUUCGGGAAACCGGAGCUAAUACCGGAUAAUAUAUUGAACCGCAUGGUUCAAUAGUGAAAGACGGUUUUGCUGUCACUUAUAGAUGGAUCCGCGCCGCAUUAGCUAGUUGGUAAGGUAACGGCUUACCAAGGCAACGAUGCGUAGCCGACCUGAGGGGGUGAUCGGCCCCCCUGGAACUGGGCAGCGGUCCCGGCUCCUGCGGGGAGGCGCAAAUUGGAAUGCUGCGCAACUGGGGGAAACCUUGCCGAAGCAACGCGCGUGUGGUGAAGAAGUUUUGCGUACGUAAAAACUUUUUUAUUGGGGAAGAACAAUUUCGAAAGUAACGAGGCAAGCUUGACGGUAACCAAUCAGAAAGCCACGGCUAACUACGUG